GAUGAAGAACGCAGCGAAAUGCGAUAAGUAAUGUGAAUUGCAGAAUUCAGUGAAUCAUCGAAUCUUUGAACGCACCUUGCGCCCUUUGGCCAUUCCGAAGGGCAUGCCUGUUUGAGUAUCAUGAACACCUCAACUCUUUAUGGUUUUCCAUGAUGAGCUUGGACUCUGGGGGUUUUGCUGGCUCACAGUCGGCUCCUCUAAAAUGAAUCAGCUUACCAGUGUUUGGUGGGUAUCAUGGGUGUGAUAACUAUCUACGCUUGUGGUUUUUCCACCAGGUAACCUUCAGCAGUGGAGGUUCGCUGGAGCUCAUAGAUGUCUCUCCUCAGUGAGAACAGCCCUUUGAAUGUUUGAUCUCAAAUCAGGUAGGACUACCCGCUGAACUUAAGCAUAUCAAUAAGCGGAGGA
rnacentral:misc_RNA from 1 species